rnacentral:rRNA from 1 species
GACGUAGGGUGCGAGCGUUGUCCGGAAUUAUUGGGCGUAAAGCGCGCGCAGGCGGUUCUUUUAAGUCUGAUGUGAAAGCCCACGGCUCAACCGUGGAGGGUCAUUGGAAACUGGGGAACUUGAGUACAGAAGAGGAAAGCGGAAUUCCACGUGUACGCGGUGAAAUGCGUAGAGAUGUGGAGGAACACCAGUGGCGAAGGCGGCUUUCUGGUCUGUAACUGACGCUGAGGCGCGAAAGCGUGGGGAGCGAACAGG